rfam:Felis catus isolate Cinnamon breed Abyssinian chromosome C1, whole genome shotgun sequence.
GCCUGGGUGGCUUAGUCAGUUAAGCGUCUGACUUCGGCUCAGGUCAUGAUCUCACGGUCCGUGAGUUUGAGCCCCACGUCAGGCU